AUGCAUUCGACUUCGAAGGUGCGAAAGUGAAAAUGAGGAUUCAAGGUUUCUUGAAAUGGCAGUCACCUUUUUUUUUUGAGGAUUUAAUGACCUCUUUUUGAUUGAUUUUCUUCAUCCCUGAUUUUUCCUGGACCGCUUCUUUGAAGCUUUCGGUCCAUCGGGAUGCCCUGACUUUUGCCUAAGUCAUUUUGUGGUGUUUGACUUAGCAGACUUUUUUCUGUGUUUUUUUUUACGUGUUGACUGCCAGGUUAUUGGUGGAUGAGGA
rnacentral:lncRNA from 1 species